AUGGCGACCGGCGCACGGGUGAGUAACGCGUAUCCAACCUGCCCUUUACUCGGGGAUAGCCUUCUGAAAGGAAGUUUAAUACCCGAUGAAUUCGUUUAGUCGCAUGGCUUGAUGAAGAAAGAUUUAUCAGUAAAGGAUGGGGAUGCGUCCCAUUAGCUUGUUGGCGGGGUAACGGCCCACCAAGGCGACGAUGGGUAGGGGUUCUGAGAGGAAGGUCCCCCACAUUGGAACUGAGACACGGUCCAAACUCCUACGGGAGGCAGCAGUGAGGAAUAUUGGUCAAUGGGCGCGAGCCUGAACCAGCCAAGUAGCGUGGAGGACGACGGCCCUACGGGUUGUAAACUCCUUUUAUAAGGGGAUAAAGUUGGCCAUGUAUGGCCAUUUGCAGGUACCUUAUGAAUAAGCAUCGGCUAAUUCCGUGCCAGCAGCCGCGGUAAUACGGAAGAUGCGAGCGUUAUCCGGAUUUAUUGGGUUUAAAGGGAGCGUAGACGGGCAGUCAAGUCAGCGGUCAAAUGGCGCGGCUCAACCGUAACGUUCCGCCGUUGAAACUGGCAGCCUUGAGUAUGCACAGGGUACAUGGAAUUCGUGGUGUAGCGGUGAAAUGCUUAGAUAUCACGAGGAACUCCGAUCGCGCAGGCAUUGUACCGGGGCAUUACUGACGCUGAGGCUCGAAGGUGCGGGUAUCAAACAGGAUUAGAUACCCUGGUAGUCCGCACAGUAAACGAUGAAUGCCCGCUGUCGGCGACAUAGUGUCGGCGGCCAAGCGAAAGCGUUAAGCAUUCCACCUGGGGAGUACGCCGGCAACGGUGAAACUCAAAGGAAUUGACGGGGGCCCGCACAAGCGGAGGAACAUGUGGUUUAAUUCGAUGAUACGCGAGGAACCUUACCCGGGCUUGAAUCGCAGGUGCAUGGGCCGGAGACGGCCCUUUCCUUCGGGACUCCUGCGAAGGUGCUGCAUGGUUGUCGUCAGCUCGUGCCGUGAGGUGUCGGCUUAAGUGCCAUAACGAGCGCAACCCCCCUCCCCAGUUGCCACCGGGUAAUGCCGGGCACUUUGGGGACACUGCCACCGCAAGGUGCGAGGAAGGUGGGGAUGACGUCAAAUCAGCACGGCCCUUACG
rnacentral:rRNA from 1 species